rnacentral:rRNA from 1 species
UUUCCGUAGGUGAACCUGCGGAAGGAUCAUUGUCGAAACCUGCAAAGCAGAACGACCCGCGAACCGUUGCGAAAAUCACGGCGGGGCGCGGGGGAGCCGCGCCCGAGCUCUCCCACGGACCCGCCCCACGAACAAAACCCCGGCGCGACACGCGCCAAGGAAUUCAAAACGAAAAGACAGGGAACGGGCGGCCCGUCGGGCGCCGGGAACGGAAUCCCCGCGGGCGGUCCCUUUCCUUUCGGAAACAAAACGACUCUCGGCAACGGAUAUCUCGGCUCUCGCAUCGAUGAAGAACGUAGCGAAAUGCGAUACUUGGUGUGAAUUGCAGAAUCCCGUGAACCAUCGAGUCUUUGAACGCAAGUUGCGCCCGAAGCCUUCGGGCCGAGGGCACGUCUGCCUGGGUGUCAUGCAUCGUCGCCCCCCCCAAUCCUUCGGGGUACGGGGCGGGCGGAGACUGGUCUCCCGUGCGCUCCCGCUCGCGGCUGGCCGAAAUACGAGUUGUUGGCGGCCGAGAGCGCCACGGCAAGCGGUGGUUGUCGAGACCUUCGGAGAUUGCCGUCGGCGAGGCCGUCGCGAGGCUCCGGGACCCUGUUUUCUACCCACAGCGACCCCAGGUCAGGCGGGAUUACCCGCUGAGUUUAA